CACCUGAAUCCAUCCCGAACUCAGUAGUGAAACGCAGCCUCGCCGAUGGUAGUGUGGGGUCUCCCCAUGUGAGAGUAGGUCAUCGCCAGAC
rnacentral:rRNA from 1 species